rnacentral:rRNA from 1 species
GACGAACGCUGGCGGCGUGCCUAAUACAUGCCAGUAGAACGCUGAAGAGAGGAGCUUGCUCUUCCUGGAUGAGUUGCGAACGGGUGAGUAACGCGUAGGUAACCUGCCUUGUAGCGGGGGAUAACUAUUGGAAACGAUAGCUAAUACCGCAUAACAAUGGAUGACACAUGUCAUUUAUUUGAAAGGGGCAAUUGCUCCACUACAAGAUGGACCUGCGUUGUAUUAGCUAGUAGGUGAGGUAACGGCUCACCUAGGCGACGAUACAUAGCCGACCUGAGAGGGUGAUCGGCCACACUGGGACUGAGACACGGCCCAGACUCCUACGGGAGGCAGCAGUAGGGAAUCUUCGGCAAUGGGGGCAACCCUGACCGAGCAACGCCGCGUGAGUGAAGAAGGGUUUCGGAUCGUAAAGCUCUGUUGUAAGUCAAGAACGAGUGUGAGAGUGGAAAGUUCACACUGUGACGGUAGCUUACCAGAAAGGGACGGCUAACUACGUG